AUAUGAGGGAUAUAGGUAGAAAUUACAAGGAAAUAGCAAGCUUUGAGAGCUUAUUAACAUCUGUUGUCAAUGUUAACUGCUUUAUGAAACAAAACUCAAUAUUUUUCACACCUUCAUUUUAAAGGUCUUUGUGAUGCUAGAAUAAAACUUGUGAGUUUGCUGUCAGGCCUGUUAAGUUUUGUAAAACUCGUUGUAUAACCAAACACAGACACUUUAAACCAAAGAUAUUUUUCUGAUACUUUUCUCAAGUUGAGGUUAUAUUUCCUCUCUGUGGGAAUAACUUGGCUUUAGCAUUUAAAAAAUAUAAUUAUCAGCUUUAUGAAUGCUCCUGAGUGUGUUGCUGAAUAGGAAGGGGAGGUUCGUAACUUCAGUGAGACACAUGAGCAGUGAGAGGAGCCAGCACUCCGUACAGGCACAGCACUGCUUUACAUUUCUAAAGCAUCUUCUAUUUAUUGUGCAAAGCUGUGCUUUGGCCUGAGGCCCUAGCAGCUGCUCUUUGGACUGUAUCAGCUCUUUGGUUUACCUUUUCUGUGAGAAGCUUCUAAACCUUUUGAACGUUUCAAAAAAAAGUGAAAACUAAAUUUCAGAAAAGGCCCACAAUAACUGCUCCAAAUGGAGUGGUGAUACUGAAUGGUAUUGAUUGGAGCAGAGAGGGAAGGGUAGGAAAGAAGAUGUUUUAAUGGCACCUGGCUUUAUGAAUUUGUUUUGUAGUAUCAGCCUAUUGCAAGGUGUCUGACUGCCUUGCUGCAUUAAAGCUACUGGUUUCACUAGAUCAGUUUUAUGAGAUUCUGCUCCAUAAGAUUAUAAUUCAGAGUGCUGCACAGCAUACUUAGCAGCUGUGACAGAGGUAAAGUUCAAAGGCAUCCUUAGGUACAAGCAGAUGAAAUUCACCUUUUUUGUACAAAAAUAGAUGGUAUAAGCUGUUUUUCAAGGAUUUUGAUUUAGAUGCUUUUGUGUAGCAUUGUAUAUUUCCACUGUUGUUAGCAGGCUGUUACAAACAACAUGUUCGUGAAGGUGAACUGAAGAUACAUUUUAACUUCUGGGCAUCUGAGUCAUAGUUUUUAAAAUUAAAAUUCUAUGUGAAAUCUUUGGAUAGUUUUAAGAAACAGGUAUUUUUGAGUACCAAAACAAAUCUCAUGGCUCACUGGCAGUGUUUCUUGUUUCCUUUAAGUUUUGUCACUUAAAACCCUGUUUUACAGAUUCUUUUUGUUCUCCUAUAUGCAAGGUACAAUUUGUGAUAUUAAGUCCUCUGCUUAAAAUAGUAUUUUUAGUGUUUAAUUACAAUCUUGAACAUUUUCUAGAUAACAGAAUACAUCCAUUUUGGAUAUUUAUGUUUAUAAAUUCUGUGUAAGGCUCCAUAUUGUCUGCUAUGUGGUUAUGGUAACAAAACUCACUUUAAAGGUUACAUCUGUUAAUCUUCAAUCAUUGUCAUCUUAAUGAAAUUCGAUUAGUUGACUGAAACACGCCAGCAGAGCACACCCUGCUGGUGGAAGGGUGGAAGAUACAGAUGUGUCCUCUGACGCGAAGGUUCCUGCUCCCCAGCCUCUGAGACA